AGGAGUAUCCAUUGAAGUGUACAAUCCUGUUUUGAACUUCUAUUGAACUCAAUAGAGCUUCGUUUCAAGUUAACCAAAGUACAAACUAAAGAUUCGACCAAAACAAAAGUACAGACAAAGGAGGGCGUAUGCGGAAGUUCUUACUUGGACUUAUGACAAAAGCGUGGCUCAGGCUAGCGUGAGCGAGCCUAGCAUAUCGUUCACCGUGCGCCAAUCAUUUUACAACUGUUGACAUGAACGGUCAAGAUUAAAAUACUCUUAUCUUUAUGUGUGCUCCCACAAUGCAGUUCACUCAGUUCAUCCUCAAGCAAAGGAUGUUUGACUCAAGGACCUAUCUGUUGUUGCACCCACUCCGUCGAUGACCAACAAAUUGAUCUCCAUAAUCCAAGACAAAAUCGAACAAAAACCAUAAAAGCGUGAUACCAAUCCUGAACAAAUCUAGAAGGCAUUUAAGGAUAUUAUAGUAUUCAGGCUAAACUCUUGGAUGAAUUCAACGCAUCAUUCUCAGCCUCCUUGUUUGAUUUAACUUGGUACUAGCAUAUUAAUCAACAACAAUUCCAUAAUAUACUGUGUUGGAGAUUUGGAGCCAAGAAUUUUGAGUUGUAAUCAUAAUUAAACGCAUUUGUCAUUAUUACUUGAGUGAGGUCUCUCAUCUAUAUGAUUGUAUAUCUAAUCAAAUACACAGUACACUGAAUGGAUGGGGUAGGUGUAGCGUAGCUUAGUAGAGGAAAUCAAACAUACAUAUCGAGCAAUCAUAAUAUUUUGUUUUCUACCCCUUUUUGGCUUUGAGUUUGAGCAAUCAAAAUAUCAGCACUUUUGUCCCCUU
rnacentral:lncRNA from 1 species